CGGCACGGGUGAGUAACACGUAUCCAACCUGCCGUCUACUCUUGGCCAGUCUUCUGAAAGGAAGAUUAAUCCAGGAUGGCAUCAUGAGUUCACAUGUCCGCAUGAUUAAAGGUAUUUUCCGGUAGACGAUGGGGAUGCGUUCCAUUAGAUAGUAGGCGGGGUAACGGCCCACCUAGUCAACGAUGGAUAGGGGUUCUGAGAGGAAGGUCCCCCACAUUGGAACUGAGACACGGUCCAA
rnacentral:rRNA from 1 species